CCAGACUCCUACGGGAGGCAGCAGUGGGGAAUAUUGCACAAUGGGGGAAACCCUGAUGCAGCGACGCCGCGUGAGUGAAGAAGUAUUUCGGUAUGUAAAGCUCUAUCAGCAGGGAAGAAAAUGACGGUACCUGAUUAAGAAGCCCCGGCUAACUACGUGCCAGCAGCCGCGGUAAUACGUAGGGGGCAAGCGUUAUCCGGAUUUACUGGGUGUAAAGGGAGCGUAGACGGCAGCGCAAGUCUGAAGUGAAAUGCCGGGGCUUAACCCCGGAACUGCUUUGGAAACUGUGUAGCUAGAGUACAGGAGAGGAAAGCGGAAUUCCUAGUGUAGCGGUGAAAUGCGUAGAUAUUAGGAAGAACACCAGUGGCGAAGGCGGCUUUCUGGACUGAAACUGACGCUGAGGCACGAAAGCGUGGGGAGCGAACAGGAUUAGAUACCCCUGUACA
rnacentral:rRNA from 1 species